GCUCGUCUUCCCACAGGAAAUCGACCAAGCCCAAAGUCGUGAUGUAGAACAUCAUCUUGUGCUGCCACAUUUUGAAGUGUGACCCACCAAACUUAGGUGGCUUUUCGGCUAUUGCAUUUGCCCUCGGGGGCUGCAUUGGCACCGAUCCCGCCAUGUUGCCAUAGCUCACCACGUUGGUCCCGAAGGCCCCAACCGUUCGUCCAAAAGUGGACCCCAUGGAACCACUCGAAGUGGAACCAAUCGUUGACCCAAACGAGGUUUGGCCAACCGUUCCUUG
rnacentral:lncRNA from 1 species